rnacentral:rRNA from 1 species
GAUGAACGCUGGCGGCGUGCCUAAUACAUGCAAGUCGAGCGAACAGAUCAGGAGCUUGCUCCUCUGACGUUAGCGGCGGACGGGUGAGUAACACGUGGAUAACCUACCUAUAAGACUGGGAUAACUUCGGGAAACCGCAGCUAAUACCGGAUAAUAUAUUGAACCGCAUGGUUCAAUAGUGAAAGACGGUUUUGCUGUCACUUAUAGAUGGAUCCGCGCCGCAUUAGCUAGUUGGUAAGGUAACGGCUUACCAAGGCAACGAUGCGUAGCCGACCUGAGAGGGUGAUCGGCCACACUGGAACUGAGACACGGUCCAGACUCCUACGGGAGGCGGCAGUAGGGAAGCUUCCGCAAUGGGCGAAAGCCUGACGGGGCAACGCCGCGUGAGUGAUGAAGGUCUUCGGAUCGUAAAACUCUGUUAUUAGGGAAGAACAAAUGUGUAAGUAACUGUGCACGUCUUGACGGGACCUAAUCAGAAAGCCACGGCUAACUACGUG